rnacentral:rRNA from 2 species
CAAACGACUCUCGGCAACGGAUAUCUCGGCUCUCGCAUCGAUGAAGAACGUAGCGAAAUGCGAUACCUGGUGUGAAUUGCAGAAUCCCGCGAACCAUCGAGUCUUUGAACGCAAGUUGCGCCCGAGGCCUUCGGGUCGAGGGCACGCCUGCCUGGGCGUCACGC